GGUGUGCGUUUUUGGGGGCCUAGAUGGCGGACGGGUGAGUAACGCGUGGGAAUCUACCCUUUAGUUGGGGACAACAUAUGGAAACGUAUGCUAAUACCGAAUAUGCUCUACGGAGUAAAGGUGCCCUCUCCUUGGAAGGUAUCGCUAAAGGAUGAGCCCGCGUUAGAUUAGCUAGUUGGUAAGGUAAAGGCUUACCAAGGCGACGAUCUAUAGCUGGUUUGAGAGGAUGAUCAGCCACACUGGGACUGAGACACGGCCCAGACUCCUACGGGAGGCAGCAGUGGGGAAUAUUGCACAAUGAGGGAAACCUUGAUGCAGCCAUGCCGCGUGUGUGAAGAAGGCCCGAGGGUUGUAAAGCACUUUCAAUUGUGAGGAAGAUUAAGUAGCUAAUACCUGCUUAGUUUGACGUUAACUUUAGAAGAAGCACCGGCUAACUCUGUGCCAGCAGCC
rnacentral:rRNA from 1 species